rnacentral:rRNA from 1 species
GAUGAACGCUGGCGGCGUGCCUAAUACAUGCAAGUCGAGCGAACAGACGAGGAGCUUGCUCCUCUGACGUUAGCGGCGGACGGGUGAGUAACAUGUGGAUAACCUACCUAUAAGACUGGGAUAACUUCGGGAAACCGGAGCUAAUACCGGAUAAUAUAUUGAACCGCAUGGUUCAAUAGUGAAAGACGGUUUUGCUGUCACUUAUAGAUGGAUCCGCGCCGCAUUAGCUAGUUGGUAAGGUAACGGCUUACCAAGGCAACGAUGCGUAGCCGACCUGAGAGGGUGAUCGGCCACACUGGAACUGAGACACGGUCCGGACUCCUACGGGAGGCAGCAGUAGGGAAUCUUCCGCAAUGGGCGAAAGCCUGACGGAGCAACGCCGCGUGAGUGAUGAAGGUCUUCGGAUCGUAAAACUCUGUUAUUAGGGAAGAACAAAUGUGUAAGUAACUAUGCACGUCUUGACGGUACCUAAUCAGAAAGCCACGGCUAACUACGUG